rnacentral:rRNA from 1 species
UGGCGACCGGCGCACGGGUGAGUAACACGUAUCCAACCUUCCGUUUACACAGGUAUAGCCUUCUGAAAGGAAGAUUAAUCCCUGAUAGCAUAAAAAGUUCGCAUGUCUUUUAUUAAAGAAAUUCGGUAAACGAUGGGGAUGCGUUCCAUUAGAUAGUAGGCGGGGUAACGGCCCACCUAGUCCACGAUGGAUAGGGGUUCUGAGAGGAAGGUCCCCCACACUGGAACUGAGACACGGUCCAG